GGGCCCGCACAAGUGGUGGAGCAUGUGGUUUAAUUCGAUGCAACGCGAAGAACCUUACCAACCCUUGAAAUCUAGCGAAGUUCACAGAGAUGAGAAUGUGCCUUCGGGAACGCUAUGACAGGUGUUGCAUGGCUGUCGUCAGCUCGUGUCGUGAGAUGUAUGGUUAAGUCCAGUAACGAGCGCAACCCCUAUCCUUAUUUGCCAGCGCGUUAAGGCGGGAACUAUAGGGAGACUGCCGGGUGAAACCCGGAGGAAGGCGGGGACGAGGUCAAGUCAUCAUGGCCCUUAUGGGUUGGGCUACACACGUGCUACAAUGCUACGGACAAAGGGCAGCAAACUCGCGAGGACAAG
rnacentral:rRNA from 1 species